rnacentral:rRNA from 1 species
AUACGGAGAGUUCAUUCCUGGCUCAGGAUGAACGCUGGCGGUAUGCUUAACACAUGCAAGUCGAACGCGUGUCUUCGGACACAGUGGCGGACGGGUGAGUAACGCGUGAGAAUCUGGCUCUAGGUCUGGGACAACCACUGGAAACGGUGGCUAAUACCGGAUGUGCCGAGAGGUGAAAGGUUAACUGCCUAGAGAUGAGCUCGCGUCUGAUUAGCUAGUAGGUAGUGUAAUGGACUACCUAGGCGACGAUCAGUAGCUGGUCUGAGAGGACGAUCAGCCACACUGGGACUGAGACACGGCCCAGACUCCUCCAUGAGCAGCAGUGGGGAAUUAUUCCGCAAUGGGCGAAAGCCUGACGGAGCAAUACCGCGUGAGGGAGGAAGGCUCUUGGGUCGUAAACCUCAUUUCUCAGGGAAGAACACAAUGACGGUACCUGAGGAAUAAGCAUCGGCUAACUCCGUGCCAGCAGCCGCGGUAAUACGGAGGAUGCAAGCGUUAUCCGGAAUGAUUGGGCGUAAAGCGUCCGCAGGUGGCAAUGUAAGUCUGCUGUUAAAGAGUCUAGCUCAACUAGAUACAAGCAGUGGAAACGGCAUAGCUAGAGUACGUUUGGGGCAGAGGGAAUUCCUGGUGUAGCGGUGAAAUGCGUAGAGAUCAGGAAGAACACCGGUGGCGAAGGCGCUCUGCUAGGCCGUAACUGACACUGAGGGACGAAAGCUAGGGGAGCGAAUGGGAUUAGAUACCCCAGUAGUCCUAGCCGUAAACGAUGGAUACUAGGCGUGGCUUGUAUCGACCCGAGCCGUGCCGUAGCUAACGCGUUAAGUAUCCCGCCUGGGGAGUACGCCGGCAACGGUGAAACUCAAAGGAAUUGACGGGGGCCCGCACAAGCGGUGGAGUAUGUGGUUUAAUUCGAUGCAACGCGAAGAACCUUACCAAGGCUUGACAUGUCGCGAAUCCUGGUGAAAGCCCAUAGUGCCUUCGGGAGCGCGAACACAGGUGGUGCAUGGCUGUCGUCAGCUCGUGUCGUGAGAUGUUGGGUUAAGUCCCGCAACGAGCGCAACCCUCGUUUUUAGUUGCCAGCAUUAAGUUGGGCACUCUAGAGAGACUGCCGGUGACAAACCGGAGGAAGGUGGG